AAAUUACACAAUUAUGUUUAUUUGCAUUUAAAAUAAAUUAAUAAUGAAUUAUUUAUUUAUUUUUUUCGAUCACGUGACGUUUUUGAGUUCUAUGAUUGGUCAAUAACAGAGCGCGGAUUUUUCCAUGGACGAUUUGAAUGUUUGGAUGUUGAAAGUGUUGAUAGAAAAAAAGGAGAUAAAACCAGUUGCAGAAUAUUGGUACAUGAUGUUUCCAUAAGCUGAAUCUGUCCUGCCCUGGAGUACAUGAAAUUCUUCACAAUAUUACUUGUUUAAGAAUUGAAGAAAAGGUUAAAAUUGCAAGCAUAUUUCAACGAAAACUUAGCCGACUACCAGUCACACUGCCCACCAGCCAAGACGUCUGACCAGCUAAAAUGAGGGACGCAGUCCACCAGCCAAGUCCCUCGGCCAGCUCGGCUGACCCAGUGCGGCCUGUCAAGGGAUGACCAAGUCCAUCAACUAGCUCGGCUGACUACCAGUGCGGCCUGUCAUUGAACAACCAAGUCCAUCAACUAGAUUGGCUUACUACCAGAGCGGCUUUUCAAGGGAUGGUCAAGUCCGUCAACUAACUUAACCUACUACCAGUGCCGCAUGUCAAGAGAUGGCCAAGUUCGUCAACUAGCUCGGCUU